rnacentral:rRNA from 1 species
GAUGAACGCUGGCGGCGUGCCUAAUACAUGCAAGUCGAGCGAACAGAUAAGGAGCUUGCUCCUUUGACGUUAGCGGCGGACGGGUGAGUAACACGUGGGUAACCUACCUAUAAGACUGGAAUAACUCCGGGAAACCGGGGCUAAUGCCGGAUAAUAUUUAGAACCGCAUGGAUCUAAAGUGAAAGAUGGUUUUACUAACAGUUAUAGAUGGACCCGCGCCGUAGUAGCUAGUUGGUGGGGUAAUGGCUUACCAAGGCACAGAUACGUAGCCGACCUGAGAGGGUGAGCGGCCACACUGGAACUGAGACACGGUCCAGACUCCUACGGGAGGCAGCAGUAGGGAAUCUUCCGCAAUGGGCGAAAGCCUGACGGAGCAACGCCGCGUGAGUGAUGAAGGUCUUCGGAUCGUAAAACUCUGUUAUUAGGGAAGAACAAAUGUGUAAGUAACUGUGCACGUCUUGACGGUACCUAAUCAGAAAGCCACGGCUAACUACGUGCCAGCCGCCGCAGUAA